GACGAACGCUGGCGGCGUGCUUAACACAUGCAAGUCGAGCGGAAAGGCCCUGCUUUUGUGGGGUGCUCGAGUGGCGAACGGGUGAGUAACACGUGAGUAACCUGCCCUUGACUUUGGGAUAACUUCAGGAAACUGGUGCUAAUACCGGAUAGGAGCUCCUGCUGCAUGGUGGGGGUUGGAAAGUUUCGGCGGUUGGGGAUGGACUCGCGGCUUAUCAGCUUGUUGGUGGGGUAGUGGCUUACCAAGGCUUUGACGGGUAGCCGGCCUGAGAGGGUGACCGGCCACAUUGGGACUGAGAUACGGCCCAGACUCCUACGGGAGGCAGCAGUGGGGAAUAUUGCACAAUGGGCGGAAGCCUGAUGCAGCAACGCCGCGUGCGGGAUGACGGCCUUCGGGUUGUAAACCGCUUUCGCCUGUGACGAAGCGUGAGUGACGGUAAUGGGUAAAGAAGCACCGGCUAACUACGUG
rnacentral:rRNA from 1 species